CUUAUACUCCCUCCGUCCGGAAAUACUUGUCAUUGAAAUGAAUGUACAUCUCCAUUUCAAUGACAAGUAUUUUCGGACGGAGGAAGUAUUUA
rfam:Triticum aestivum genome assembly, contig: Triticum_aestivum_CS42_TGACv1_scaffold_030283_1BL